GAUGAACGCUGGCGGCGUGCCUAAUACAUGCAAGUCGAGCGAACAGACGAGGAGCUUGCUCCUCUGACGUUAGCGGCGGACGGGUGAGUAACACGUGGAUAACCUACCUAUAAGACUGGGAUCACUUCGGGAAACCGGAGCUAAUACCGGAUAAUAUAUUGAACCGCAUGGUUCAAUAGUGAAAGACGGUUUUGCUGUCACUUAUAGAUGGAUCCGCGCCGCAUUAGCUAGUUGGUAAGGUAACGGCUUACCAAGGCAACGAUGCGUAGCCGACCUGAGAGGGUGAUCGGCCACACUGGAACUGAGACACGGUCCAGACUCCUACGGGAGGCAGCAGUAGGGAAUCUUCCGCAAUGGGCGAAAGCCUGACGGAGCAACGCCGCGUGAGUGAUGAAGGUCUUCGGAUCGUAAAACUCUGUUAUUAGGGAAGAACAAAUGUGUAAGUAACUAUGCACGUCUUGACGGUACCUAAUCAAAAAGCCACGGCUAACUACGUG
rnacentral:rRNA from 1 species